rnacentral:lncRNA from 1 species
CAUUAAUAUUCUCAUUUCUAGCUGAUAAUAAAGUACCAACAAUAUGGUUUGAAGUAAACUCCGAAACAACGAUUCAUCUACUUAGUCAAUCAUGAUGGCCUCUAAAAGAGGGACGAAAGGUCAAACUCAUAAAUCGAAAAUAAACUGACAACGCCAUGGCUAAAAAUGAAAAGGACAAACAGACAAACAAUAGUACACACG